GCCCCAGCACGUGCAAGAUCGGCUAAGAGGUCCGGUUCCCAAGAGCAGAUAAGAAGUCAGGGACGGAGCAGUGACUCAGGCACAGUCAUCAGUGGUCAGGGGAAUCUUGCAGCUCUGACUGACCAGCAAUCAGUGAGAGGGAAGACAGCUCUCUGACCCAUGUACCACUUUCAGAAUGUGUUUAGACUUCAAUGCUGCCAAUAGUCCCAGAGGUAAAAAAGAGGUCAAGAGUAACAGCCUCAGGACAGCAAUGGCAGAAAUCCUCCCAAGGCUCCAGGACAACAUG